GAUAUAUUAGGAAUGAAUUAAAAAUAUUAUUUUUUUAGUUAAUAAAAAAAUAAUUUAGUCAUUCCUUCGAUGGAUAAGAUUUUUCUUCAUUUCAUGGAUAAAUGCUAUCUAUAAAAAAUAAUUAUUUAUCUUUAAAAGUUAAAAAUAUGAAUAAAUUGAUCAAUAAAAAAAUUGACUAAUUUUUUCAUGAUAUUUAUCCAUAAAAAAUAUAUUUUAAAAAAAUUUUAGAUACGGAU
rnacentral:lncRNA from 1 species